UGCCCCAGCCCCGCCCUCCUGCCCCAGCUGUCUGAGGGUGGGGCUCUCCCCUGCUCUGGGAGGGGCGGUGGAAGAGAAGGAGGCGGAAGCGGAGACCUCUCCAGUCCGUCCUGGAGCCAGUAGGGAAGCCGCUGUUGUGGCAAAGCCCAGCGGAAGAAAGGCCAGAGGUAACUCUGGUAGAAGGGUCCUACAAACCAAGAGGCCUGUACUGGUGGGGGUUCCAGGACUGGGGGUUUGGGCAGCCGUCCAGCAGCCUGGUUCUGCUGCCCAUGAGCCAUGUGGUCUCGGUCCCCUCCCUGUCCUCAGCUUGGGGACAAGGACACAGGUGUCCCUAUCUGACAAGCACAUCCUCUCUAAAUGCUUGGGGAGCAUCUAGUCACUGUGGCAGAGCUGGGAGGCGCCGGGAAGGCCUGUGUGUGUGCAUUCAAAAUCUAGACAAGACUUGAGUGAAAAAUGAGAUUUAUAAGCAAAAUAGACGUAGCUAAGAAUCACUGAUUUGAGAAUAUUAGAAACAUAUGUAAGUCUUCAUACUGUUCUGACCAUUUCAAAUGGAGUGACCGCCACUUUUGGUCUCCAGUUCUGGACCUGGGACCCGGGGAGAGGCUGGGGCCAGACCCGCCACCCAGAAAAUGAUAGGAAGCAGCAGAAUCUCUUUCCACGCUGAAGACUUGCACGCAGCCCCAGCGUAUGAACAGGCGAGGCAGCACUGGGCCCAGAGCCGCGGGCUCGGUCCCUGUCUCUCCGAGUCACCUGGGCAGGGCCUCAGGCCUGGAUUUGCUGGGUUGGGGAGAACAGCAGGGAACGGACCAUCUCAGUGGUUCGUCCGCUCAGACUGCUGGGCUGUGUCCCCUGUGGUGUCUCUGUGCGGCCUGGUGGCCCCGGGAAUGCUUGCCUUUACCUCUGGUCACUGAUAGGGAGUGAGGGUGCCAGGGGUCAUGGGAAACCCAGGGGCAGGACCACCAACCUUCUGGCACUUUCCAAGACAAGGUUGGGAGGCUAACUGUGCCAUGGCCAAAAUUUAGAAGGCAGAGGCACUCAGGGGCUGCUGGGUAGCGGGGCUCUUGUGGCCACAGCCUCAUUUGUCCCUGAGCGCCGACUGGGGGCGGGAGGCUGCCAGGAAUGAGCACGUAUGCCUUCCUCCUGAGGGACACCAGGUCCGGGCUGCUCCCGGGCUGCUGAGUGCUGUCUCCGUGGCCGAGACUGACCGUGUCAUCAUUCAGCUGACCUGCCCUGCACCCUCCAGCUCACGGACCCUGGCUCAGCAUGCUGUAGUCCCUUGAAGACACCGGGCUUGCAUUCCAGAGACGAGGAGCCACCGAGGGACAGCAGCCAGGCCCUGAGAUGAACAUCGCAGGGAGACAGCCCAGGUUUAUCUUACGGAGUUUUGGGACCGGGCUCCGGGCUUCCGUGUGUGGCAAACACCCGGAGGAUGUGCUGGAAGCCCGGGGUGCCUGCCCGCCGCUCUCAGGUCCUGGCGGAGAACCGGACAGAGGGCGGCUACGUGGUUUCCAGUGAACGUUCGCCGUUGGUGUUACCGCUAACACCUGCCUCUCCCCGCCAGCGCCACCGCGUCUCCCACCAACGGGCAGAGGGACGUUUCCUGGCUCCGUUUCCCCCAAGCAUCAGGUGGCUGGAGAUUCCCCAUUUACGUGGUGCUCCUGACCGGCAGGUGUGCUCUGGGAUUGGUGCCCCAUAGGUGGCCUUGCAGGUGCCUGGCGUCCCCUCCCCCUGCCCCACCGCCCCCCUGGGCUCCCCCAAGGGCUCGCUGCCCUCUGCCCGCCCUCUGCCCGCCCCACACGCGCACCUGAUGGGCUCCUGGUCUUCCUUGUCUUCCUUGCUCUGUGCCACCCUGAUGCCACUUUUCUUUGCUCUCGGGCAACCUGAAAGACUAAAGAAGGGACACAGCCUCAGGACGCGUCCACCGUGGCAUGGGCAGGUCCCUCCCCGCUGUCGCUGCUCAGAUUCUGUUUCUCCAGAAGCUGGAGCUGCUCCCCGUGAACACAAAAUUAUUCCGGGAGGAGGGACCUUCCGGGAACGGGCCCGCGUGUGCUCUCCAAGUCUUUAGACCCCGUCAGUCCCCUGGCGAGGGGGAGCGCUGGGUGGCCGGGAACACCAGAGAGAGGCUGAGUGGCGGGCCCAGAAAAGGGGUAACGCUGAGGAGAAAACACACGCUCCCUCCAUCUCUUCCUCGGCGACCUGUUGUCUGCGGCCCGCUGCCUGGGCCCUGCCAUCUGGGGACAGUGACACCCGUGGUCUGAUUCGUCUCAAGUACAGACUUACUGUGAGUCUGCAGAAGGUGCAGAGGAAGUUGAACAUGAUUAUUUUACUCAGUCGUCAAAAUUUUGGAAAUAGAAGCUCAUGCUUAUCUAAAGGAAGACUUCCGGCUGGCACAGAAAACUGCUCAUACAUGUCUGAUCAUGCACGUGGGCCAACAUGUAUGAACUGCACAUGUGCUAACUUGCACGAGCGUGUAGACGGGCUAACAAUAGGCUGUGAUAUGAGAUUGUGCACGAGAACAUACAGAAUAAAUGCGAUUCUUGUGCAAAGACUGAAAAACCAGAAACUAGGCCAUUUACGGAGACGCGGGGACACACGGGUGCAGACUCGUCCGGUGCCGACGCGCGGCCGUGGCCCAGGUGUCCCAACCCCUCUGGAACGUGGCCCGUCUGCUACGUCACCGUCUCCUUUAAUAGGAAUGUGGGAAAGACGAGAUGUGCCCGGAUCCUCUCCCUCCUGCUGCCUCUGGUCCUCCGUUUCAAGGUAAAAACUUGGAAAGUGGGUGUGCCGCUCCGUGGCCGUCCCCACUGCCGUCCAGCUCUGAUCUCUUCCCAGGAAGAGCGCUCUUUCCGGUCACCAUGAGGGCGCCCCUGGCCUCUUGCAGGCGAUGCUCCUCCGAGCCUGUCGGCAGCCUCGGCGUCUGGAGGGCCUGUGUCCCAGGAGGUCGGUGUCGUGUGCUGCCCUCGCUUGAGGCCUGAGCUCACACGUCCCUGGUGCUCCCGAGCCCCCACCAGGCCCUCUCCCCGCACGUCCUUCCCUUCCGGCAGAGCUCUCCUGAGCCCUCUGCCAUCCACGACAAAACUCAAGCCGUGCGUCCUACGACUCCUGGUCACGUCUCUUUGGGCGACGCCCUUCAUUCCCGCCAAAGGUUAAACUCCUCGCCCUCAGUUCCCUCCACGUCUCGUGUGCUCCUCUCCGUGGAUGGCAUCGGCGUCUGCUCCCUGGCCCGAGACGGAACUGAGCUCAUCCUUGGCCUUACUUGCCCGGGGUCCUGCUGGUUUUACGUCCCCCGUGUCUUUGGAACCAUCCCCUUUCUGCCUCCACGACGCCGUGUCGGGACGGGCUGGCGUCAGCUCCGAGCUGUGUUAAGCUGCUCCAUUUAGGACCUUCCGGUGGCCCACCACCGAAUGCCUCGCCGUGGGCACCGUGGGCUGGACCCGCCCCCAGUGUCUGCCGGCUCUCCAGCGUGGUGCACGCCCGCGCCCUCGCACGCUCUUCUGGCGCCACUGUCCCCGCCGUCUGCUGGCGGGCACAUCCCUCGAGGUGUGUUCCUCGGUGUGGGCGCCCUUCUGACAACUGGCCCUGGGAGCCCGCGGGACCCCGUCCCCUGCGGGUGUCACUCGCGCUGUGCUGGAAGCCGUCCGCCCACCCACCACAGGCUGCUGAGCCGCGAGUUCCGGGGGCGUGAGAGCCAUGUGCUCGGUCGCCCGCGUCCAGUCCCACACUGUGUGUCCAGCCGGGGGUCUGCUUGCGCCCGUGGCCCUUCCUGGCUUGGAUCCGGGGCCCUGCGGCCCGCGUUGCUUCCGCCCGCCGGCGGCCAUCCCCUCCUGGAUGUUCCCGUUACUUCCGAACACUGCUUUCGGGUCCUCCCUGCGCGGUUUCCUCACGUGCAGUCAGGACACAAAUACUAGUCCCGUAGGACAGCGAGACCACACAGGCAACGUGUACAGCCAUGCUCGUGGUACAUAGUAUGUGCUCGACACAUGCUACCUUUGCCAUCAGAGAACAUUCUGGAACCCUAAGCGAGCAGCUGCUCUCUGAGCCUGGGAGGCUGUCCUGGGGAGCCAGAGUCACGUGGUGGCUUGUGACAGCUCAAGGCUUUGGCACUCUUGCUGCAUGUGAGCCAUGGCAGGUCACAGGGAUCAGGAGCUCCUCGGGACUGUGUGCUGGGACCACGCUGGGUGGGGGUGGGGGGGGCCGCUGCGCUGGCAGGAAACAGCCGGCCUGGGAAGGGCCGGCUCGAGCAAUGGAUCCUUGUUGUCCUUGUGGACGGGGCCAUGGUCUCUGUGGACCCCUCCAGCCUCACCUGCCAGAUGCAGUCCCUCUUGUCACUGAGGACCGAGGGAGGCAGAACAUGUGACGGUCGGCUGGGUUGUUUUUUUUCUUUUUUUAAGUUUAUUUAUUUUGAGAGAGAGGGAGAGACAGAGAAUACCAAGCAGGGGCUCGAACUCGAACUCAAAAACCGUGAGAGCAGAACCCGAGCUGAAAUCAAGAGUCAGACGCUUAACCGGCUGAGCCCUCCAGGCAUCCGGUUUGUUUUGUUUGUUUUAUUGUUGAUGGAACCCUAGAGACCGCCAGCAAAUAUGGAUUGUACUGAAUUCAGGGAAGCGUCAGAGCUGGGGCAGAGAUGAGAAAAUCACACCAUGAGAACGGAAAUGGAGCGUGCACAGGCCAGAACCUCUCCCACCCAGAGCCGGGACUGGGCGACCUUCGGGGCCCUUCUGGGCGGGGAGGUGGCCAACUCUGAACCUGUUUCCUCCGUGCGAGAGGACACGACCUCACCUAACACCGGCGUGGCCCUGAGAGCGGUGGAGGACAGCGCACUGUCCCCGGCUCCCGGCUGAGAGGGGCACCUGGCCUCUGUGCCCCAGUCAGGAGGGCGGCCGGCCCACAGCAACGCCCCAGGCAGGGCCUGACCGCGUGCUUUCCCUGGAGAGGGAGGGGGGCUCGGCAUCCACAGCCCCCAUUCUGGGCCCCUGCUUCCUGGGAGACCCGGAUGGCAGGAGGGCUGUGUGGGCUCACGGCUGCCUGAGUUGUGGCACCGUUUUAAAGACGUUUUCUCUGUUGUUUGCUCAUCGGUAACAUUCCUCGCGUCCCUGGGAAGCGACAGUGGACGGUUAACCUGAAGGCAGGUUCUCUCCUUGUGUUUGGGCCUCGUGAGCGGCAGGCCUGGGGGCUCCG